rnacentral:lncRNA from 1 species
AACCUCUGCAUCCUGGGAUCAACUGAUUCUCCUGCCUCAGACUCCCAAGUAGCUCAACUACAGGCGCGUGUCACCACACCCGGCUAAUUUCUGUAUUUUUAGUAGAUACGGGGUUUCACCACGUUGGCCAGGAUGGUCUCGAUCUCUUGACUUCGUGAUCCACCCACCUCGGCCUCCCAUAGUGCCGGGAUUACAGGCAUGAGCCACCACGCCCGCCCAAAAUCAACUGUAUUUUUUUUUUUUUUUUGAGGCGGAGUCUCACUCAGUCACCCAGGCUGGAAUGCAGUGGCGCCAUCUCAGCUCACUGCAAGCUCCGCCUCCCAGGUUCAUGCCAUUCUCCCGCCUCAGCCUCCGAGUAGCUGGGACUACAGGUGCCCGCCACCAAGCCUGGCUAAUUUUUU